CACAACGUCCGCGACAUGUUCUUAAAUUCCAGAGAGUGUAAAUAAAACUGUUGUGUUUCGUCACCGAAAUGACGUCACACAAUGUACUGCGUAGUACAUUUCGUAAUAUAAAAUCAAAGCGCUGAUUGCAUUGCAAAAUGAAUUCAACACUAUCUUGAACGCAACGCUAUAAUGAUGUUUCAAUAAAAUACACAGAAUUUUGUAAACACAGAAAAAGGCUUAAUGCUAGUCGAUAGUGUUUAAGAUGGGGAUGUCCGACACAAUGCAGUGGUUUGCUCUUUUCACGUUUUUAAUAUUAUAGUAAUGGGAAUUGAAGUUCUACUUUUUAAGGUAGCUAAUCGAACGGCUUCGAAACAAUAAACAUGUCUGCGAGUAUUAUGGUUAAUUUCAUGUGAUGUGUAUAUUAAAUUUUUGCGAGAACUUUGGUUACCAUCAUUAAAUGCACAAAAAGAAAUAGGUUCUUAAUUUUAUUUCAUUUCACCACUCAUUCCAUCCCGCGAAACCCUUAAGGUGUCGCAACUCUAGUAUGGAAUGAGUGAUGUAUUGGACGUCAUCAUUGAUGACGUUCAUUCGAACGAAUGAUAAAGGGGGCUAAGUUUCGUUAAGCUGGCGCAUAUAGUCGCGAUUUGUGGCGCUUGAAUACUGGCCGAGCACGUUUGCUGAAAUUUGACAUGUAUAUGGACAAGAAUGCGAUCUACCUGUUGGCGUAGGCGUUAUACCUGGGAAAAAUCAAGUUUUCGAGUAUUUUGCGUUUAAAUAUUUUUAUGGGAAAGAGCACGCGCGCAUGACGUCAUGAAAGGCGCUUAGGCUAGCUUCCAUCUUGCUACGAAACAAAGAAACUGACGUUACGCGUUAUUAAUUUAAUAUAAAGUUAGGCGUUUAAUCGAUAAACAAAGACGUAAUAAUUGUGUUUGAAUAUCAAUCGGAAGUACACAUGCAUGUCUUUUGUGCACAGUGUGGUUUUUUAAUAAACAUGACAUAAAUCUAUGUGUUAUUCAACGUAUUGUGUGCGACGAGUUGAAGAGAGGUUUACACGGCUAGGCUUUCCGAGAUAAAUCGUAACGAAAUAGCAGACACCACACAGCGUCUCAUCUGAUUCUACGCUGUUUGCCAAGGCCGAUACUAUAAUGAAUGGAAAUGCACAAACUCAGUAACUGGCAAGCAUA